rnacentral:tRNA from 1 species
GGGCGGGUGGUGGAAUGGCAGACACGAGGGACUUAAAAUCCCUUCCCCGCAAGGGGGUGAGGGUUCGACUCCCUCUCCGCCCA